UCUGACGGACACGCCGCGUGAGUGAUGAAGGCUUUCGGGUCGUAAAACUCUGUUGUUAGGGAAGAACAAGUACGAGAGUAACUGCUCGUACCUUGACGGUACCUAACCAGAAAGCCACGGCUAACUACGUGCCAGCAGCCGCGGUAAUACGUAGGUGGCAAGCGUUAUCCGGAAUUAUUGGGCGUAAAGCGCGCGCAGGCGGUUUCUUAAGUCUGAUGUGAAAGCCCACGGCUCAACCGUGGAGGGUCAUUGGAAACUGGGGAACUUGAGUGCAGAAGAGAAAAGCGGAAUUCCACGUGUAGCGGUGAAAUGCGUAGAGAUGUGGAGGAACACCAGUGGCGAAGGCGGCUUUUUGGUCUGUAACUGACGCUGAGGCGCGAAAGCGUGGGGAGCAAACAGGAUUAGAUACCCUGGUAGUCCACGCCGUAAACGAUGAGUGCUAAGUGUUAGAGGGUUUCCGCCCUUUAGUGCUGCAGCUAACGCAUAAGCAUCCGCCUGG
rnacentral:rRNA from 2 species